rnacentral:rRNA from 1 species
GACGAACGCUAGCGGCGGGCUUAACACAUGCAAGUCGAACGGAAAGGCCCUGAUCUUGUUUGGUGCUCGAGUGGCGAACGGGUGAGUAACACGUGUGUAACCUGCCCUUGACUUUGGGAUAACUUCAGGAAACUGGGGCUAAUACCGCAUAGGAGCUCCUGCUGCCUGGUGGUGGUUGGUAAGUUUCGGCGGGUGGGGAUGGACUCGCGGCUUAUCGGCUUGUUGGUGGGGUAGUGGCUUACCAAGGCUUUGACGGGUAGCCGGCCUGAGAGGGUGACCGGCGACAUGGGGCCUACGCCAACGCCCAGCAGCCGAAGGGAGGCAGCAGUGGGGAAUAUUGCACAAUGGGCGGAAUCCCGAUGCAGCAACGCCGCGUGCGGGAUGACUGCCUUCGUGUUGUAAACCGCUUUCGCCUGUGACGAAGCGUGAGUGACGGUAAUGGGUAAAGAAGCCACGGCUAACUACGUG